AUUGAACGCUGGCGGCAGGCCUAACACAUGCAAGUCGAGCGGAUGCAGGGUGAUUGCUCCUGGAUUCAGCGGCGGACGGGUGAGUAAUGCCUAGGAAUCUGCCUGGUAGUGGGGGAUAACGUCCGGAAACGGGCGCUCAUACCGCAUACGUCCUGAGGGAGAAAGUGGGGGAUCUUCGGACCUCACGCUAUCAGAUGAGCCUAGGUCGGAUUAGCUAGUUGGUGGGGUAAAGGCCUACCAAGGCGACGAUCCGUAACUGGUCUGAGAGGAUGAUCAGUCACACUGGAACUGAGACACGGUCCAGACUCCUACGGGAGGCAGCAGUGGGGAAUAUUGGACAAUGGGCGAAAGCCUGAUCCAGCCAUGCCGCGUGUGUGAAGAAGGUCUUCGGAUUGUAAAGCACUUUAAGUGGGGAGGAAGAGCAGUAAGUUAAUACCUUGCUGUUUUGACGUUACCAACAGAAUAAGCACCGGCUAACUUCGUG
rnacentral:rRNA from 1 species